CAGCCGUAAACUAUGCUCGCUAGGUGUCAGGCAUGGCGCGACCGUGUCUGGUGCCGCAGGGAAGCCGUGAAGCGAGCCACCUGGGAAGUACGGCCGCAAGGCUGAAACUUAAAGGAAUUGGCGGGGGAGCACAACAACGGGUGGAGCCUGCGGUUUAAUUGGACUCAACGCCGGGAAGCUCACCGGAUAAGACAGCGGAAUGAUUGCCGGGCUGAAGACUCUGCAUGACUAGCUGAGAGGAGGUGCAUGGCGUAGACGUGU
rnacentral:rRNA from 1 species